rnacentral:misc_RNA from 1 species
UAAUAAGUGUUUAUGGCACUUCUUAAAUCCAUAUCCACCUUGUGUGCAAUGUCAGCCGUUUCCUUUAUGAAAGCGGCCAAACAUCAACUUAUUUUUUAACUGUCUGUCUGAAAACUAUUAUGAAUAAACAAUUCAAAUA